rnacentral:rRNA from 1 species
AUUGAACGCUGGCGGCAGGCCUAACACAUGCAAGUCGAACGAGUGGCGGACGGGUGAGUAAUGUCUGGGAAACUGCCCGAUGGAGGGGGAUAACGACUGGAAACGGUAGCUAAUACCGCAUACCAUCGGAUGUGCCCAGAUGGGAUUAGCUAGGAGGUGGGGUAACGGCUCACCUAGGCGACGAUCCCUAGCUGGUCUGAGAGGAUGAACAGCCACCCGAGAACUGGGCCACGGUCCAGACUCCUCAGGGAGGCAGCAGUGGGGAAUAUUGCACAAUGGGCGCAAGCCUGGUACAGCCAUGCCGCGUGUAUGACGAAGGCCUUCGGGUUGUAAAGUACUUUCAGCGGGGAGGCGUUACUCGCAGAAGAAGCACCGGCUAACUCCGUGCCAGCAGCCGCGGUAAUUC